ACGCAUUAAGUACUCCGCCUGGGAAGUACGCUCGCAAGAGUGAAACUCAAAGGAAUGGACGGGGACCCGCACAAGUAGCGGAGCAUGUGGUUUAAUUCGAAGCAACGCGAAGAACCUUACCUAAGCUUGACAUCCCAAUGACAUCUCCUUAAUCGGGGAGUUCCCUUCGGGGACAUUGGUGACAGGUGGUGCAUGGUUGUCGUCAGCUCGUGUCGUGAGAUGUUGGGUUAAGUCCCGCAACGAGCGCAACCCUUGUCUUUAGUUGCCAUCAUUAAGUUGGGCAC
rnacentral:rRNA from 1 species